UACGAAGGGUGCUAGCGUUGUUCGGAAUUACUGGGCGUAAAGCGCGCGUAGGCGGCUAUCCAAGUCAGGGGUGAAAUCCUUGGGCUCAACCCAAGAAUUGCCUUUGAAACUGUAUAGCUAGAGUGUCGGAGGGGAUAGCGGAAUUCCUAAUGUAGAGGUGAAAUUCGUAGAUAUUAGGAGGAACACCGGUGGCGAAGGCGGCUAUCUGGACGACAACUGACGCUGAGGCGCGAAAGCACGGGGAUCAAACAGG
rnacentral:rRNA from 1 species